CUGCUGUAUUGUUCAGAGGAGUGAUGAUUUCACGCCUCCAUAAUCUAGAAGUUGCCUCACUCUGACAGCUGCUUAAGUAGUUAGUAGUAGUAGCUGCUUCUAGUUUUUAGUUUAAUCCUUGGUCCUUUUUGUGUAGAAAUGUGUUAAUCCUACCAACUAACAGUCAAAAUUGAUUUCCUUGGAAGGCUCUUUUAUUCCAUUGCUUCUGAAUUUUGAAGGCCUUGCAGUCCUCUGCCUCUUUUUGAGAAGUCUAUUGAGUCCUACUGCUGCCUAAUCCAAAAGCCUUUCCAAUAUGUAUUAACCUAUAGUCACCUCUAGUUGAAAAAAUAAGUCGAACCUGCUGUUCCUACGAUGUUAAAAGUAUUCUUAAUUCCAUUAUUUCUGAUCUGGAAGCUUCACUGAUCCAAAUAAAGAAAUCUACCUUACUGUUUCCUGUGCUAGAGGAAUUUUUACCUAAAGUCAAUGUUAGAUAACUCUAAGAUAACAGUGAGCAAGUCAUAUUUUCAAGAUUUCAUAAUCACACAUUUAAUGUUAUCCGUCCCACUCCAACAUCCAAAGCCUAAUUCCUUUCACUCUGUCAAAAACACAGUUCUUAUAUCAGCCUAAUAAUGACUAAAAUCAAAUAUCAUCCAGCAAAGCCUGUGUAAACCAUUUACUCAGUCUCAGUUGAACAUGAGUUUUUUUCCUCCUCUCCACACAGCCUAGUGCUGUCAUUUUCCAGCAGAUGGCAGUGUUAAAUCAUGUGAUGAAAGAUGCUGGUUCUCAGUUGAGCCAACAGUUAAGCGCAGUUACAAUUAAAUACAGUAAAUGUUUUAUGUAGUCAGACCUGUUUAUUUUGUACCUCUCAUAAAAUUGUGUUACAGAAAGUGAAUGAAACUGAAAUGUGGGAUUUAUAUACAUUAUUUAUAAUUUAAUUAAUAUAUGAAGGAGAAAUGAUGAAUAUUCCACUUAACACUGAAAAUAUAGAGAAUACAAAUAUACUCAUGUAGUGAUUUGAAUUUAUAAUAAAUGUCUUAAGAUUAAUUAUCUUAAAUUAUGACAUUUAUGCACUCAUUGAAAGGAGCACCACCCACCCUUAAGGGUGGAAAAAUAAAGAGAAAAAAAAGUUUAAUUCAGAAAUCAAACAUUAAGUCAAUCUUAAAUUAAUCAAUCUCAUAUCUCAAGCUGAAAUUCUCAUUUCAGGGACUUCACUUCUGGAAGAACACUAACUGAAGAGAAUUUAGAAAAAUAAAUGAUCUGUUUAUUACAGGAUAAAUGAUGGUACAACCUACAUGCAAUAAAUGACAAGAUAAUGAGGAUAGGCAGGAAAAAGAAACCACUGAGAGAAGCAGUACAUUUUCAAAACUUGAUGUUUCAAUUUAAUGGAUGCAAAAGAGCUGACUGAUAUGAGUCAGAUGAGUUCUGAUGCUGAGACUUUGUUUUGGCUCAACACACAAAUAAAAAAAAAGAAGAGCAAAAAGAAAUGUGCGAUUUGAACACUUCAUGUACAUGUCUGUUGUCAUGCUUCAUAAUGAGACUUUCAAUAUGAAUGUUGUAAAACAUGCCUCAUGUUGUCUGUGCAUGGUCUCCGUCACACCUGCAUCAUGUGACCUCAUUGAACUCUAUCUCAGGGCUUGUUGUCCUCGUGUUUGUUGUCUGUCUGUGCUGCAUUCACAUGCAGAAAGGACAAUAAUACUUGUGUUAUUGUAAUACGAUGGAUGAAGGAUGAAGUAAAGCCAUAAGAGGAGGGACGUGUCCCAUGAAUUAUGUAAGGUCAUGGAUGAGGUCAUAAAGCUGUCUGCUGUCACUGUGAAAGUUUAUUCUGGACCUCUGCUUGUACUUGACCCCAGCAUCACCACACACUCACACACACAGAGGUUUGAUCACCUGGAAGAACCUGGAGAAAAAUCCUGGAAAAUAUAAACCAGUGAACAGACUUAAAGGAUCCUGGAUGGACACCUUAUUGGCUGAGACACAUGUCAAUCAAAUUACCUUUAAUCUCUCUGAUGGACUCUGUGUCUCUGCCUUCACUAAAGAGGAGAAAUCAAACUUCCUGUAAAAGUCUGUCUAUACACUCUUAUCACAAAGUGAAGCUUCAGCAGGACUACAUGUGUUUCAGAGACACUGCUAAGAACUACAAACACGUCAGCGCUUGAAAAAAGUUUUGUAACAAGUGUUACAGAAAAGGCAUGCUCUUCUGCUUAAAUAUUAACAUGUUUAUGGUGUUGAAUGUAAACAAACACACACUGCAGGGGAGGGUGAUGAUCAUGAUAAUAUCAAUGACGAUAAAAAUGAUGAAGAUGCUUACCAUGUUUUCCUACCUGCUCCUGUUCACACACACAUGCACACACUGCACAUGCUCAGUACGCUGCUCACAGUGUCAUUACAUUAAAUGUAGUGAUUGACGAUACUAGAUAAGUAGCCUACUUAAGAUCUAAACUUUAUUCUACAGCCUUUCCCCCAACACAUGUCCAUACAUAAUCAACAUUCACACUCACACACACACACACACACACAUACACACACACACACACACACACACACACACACACACACACACACACACACACACACACACACACACACACACACACACACACACACACAAAAGGCAAAGUCUGAAAACUUAUUUGCAGAAAAGCAGCUCCAUUAGCAACUUUAAAAUUGAAGACAUGAAACUUAUCAUACUUAAAUGCACCCAACAUUUCAAACACCAAACAACAUAUUCAGAGGCUUUCAACACACUUUAGACCCAUUCAACUUUUGGACUGGUUGGUGCACUAGUGCUUCGAUCCAACACUACAUAGACCCCAUUUUCUCAGGUCUCAUCAUAAUACAACCAUGCAGUGAUUUACACUACAGAGUCAUGAUUAUUCAUGAAGAUCAGGGCCAGCUGGUAUUGAUUUUUGUUCCUUGUCUCUUACAGAGAUUUCUCCAGAUUCUCUGAAUCUUUUACUGAUAUUAAAUACUACAUAUGAUGAAAUUCACAAGUUCUUUACAACUUUAUGCACAAGAAAAUUAUUUAGAAGUGGUUGAACUAUUUGUUCACACAGUUCCUAAACAUUUAAAACAACUAACCUAUGAUUUGAAGAGGCAAGCAUGAGGUAAGAAGUUGUCUGUCACAGCUAAUAUAGUUGGGGUUGACAUACCUGGCAUAGCUUUUAUGUUAUCCCAGCUUUUUGGGGGCUUAAGCUUAAAAAGAAACAUUUGAGAUGCCUUCUUUAAGUCUGAUUUUCUACUUUUUUUCUCUACGUUUGAGUGCUCAGACAUCUUUGUUUCUUAUCACUCCUUUCCUUAGAUCCUGUCACUAAAAUCCCUGGAAAAACUUGAUAAGUGCAAAACAAAAGGUUGCAUAAAAAUCUUGACUUCUUGAUACAAACAAAUCAAGAAGUGAAAGACAAAAGUAGGAAACAGAAAACUUAAGGGGUAGUGACCUGAGAGUAUCAGCAUUCACACCAAACUUAAAAAACAUGGGGUAUUUAAGGGCUUUGGAGAAAGGUCUACGGUCAGCAGCUACCACUUCCUGUUUCAAAUUUCGAUCUGACUGGUUGUUGAGUCGAUGUGUGAAGUGGUUUCCCCUUAUAGAGAAGUUUAAAGGUUCAGUUCCUUGAAAUAUGUCAGACAGAGGUCAUAGUUUUACGAGAAGAUACACAUUGACACUGAAAAAAGACUCAAACGGAACUAUGUCAAAAUAAUAUAUUUCUUCACUCAAAGAGCUUUACAUCACAUGUCACAUUCUCACCACAUUCACACACUGAUAUCAGAGUUUGCUAUGUAUAGAGCCCAUCAGCUUUUGACUGGUUGUAUUCUCACACCACUGGAAGGGGGCAGGUGAUGUCAAGUGUGAUGCCCAAGGACACUUCAGCAGCUCUGGAAUCAAACCCCUCAUCUUCUGAUUGGGAGACGAGAAAAGUUCUUUUCAGCAUCUUUUAAUUAAAAGGGGAGACCAAAUGAAUAUGCCUGCCAACAUCAAACUUCUUUGAACUAGGGAUGUCAGAUAUUUUUCCAUGGCAUCAAUCUCUAACUCAAUUCUCUUUAACUGCAGCCUCAACUCAAGCUCUUUCAAACCUGAAGCUACAGUAACUUCUGCUGCCUCUAUUAGCAUUUUGGCUUUCUCACACCUUAUCAACAAACGUAUUAAAGAUUUUGGAGCCAGCUCUCUGAGGUUGCCUUGAAUAGUUAAACCAUAAUGAGCUGCAACUGAGCAAAGAUCUGUCUUCUUAUAACUUUAAGAGUUGCUUUGUGUCAGGUUCUUUUACGGAACCUGUCUAGCUCAAAUGCAAUGAUAGCAAGACACAAAAGCAUAAAUGCCACUAAAAGAGACAUUUCUCCACAGAAAAAUACCACAAAAGCAAUCC